GAUGAACGCUGGCGGCGUGCUUAACACAUGCAAGUCGAACGAAGAAGGUUGGAAUGAGAGCUUUCGGCAGGAUUUCUUUCCAUCUUAGUGGCGGACGGGUGAGUAACGUGUGGGCAACCUGCCCUGUACUGGGGAAUAAUCAUUGGAAACGAUGACUAAUACCGCAUGUGGUUCUCGGAAGGCUAUCUUCUGAGGGAAGAAAGGAUUUAUUCGGUACAGGAUGGGGCCCGCAUCUGAUUAGCUAGUUGGUGAGGUAACGGCCCACCAAGGCAACGAUCGGUAGCCGGACUGAGAGGUUGAACGGCCACAUUGGGACUGAGACACGGCCCAG
rnacentral:rRNA from 1 species